UACGUGAUUGAUUCUGUCAGCGCUAUAUUCUCAGUUGAAAACCUGUGCCACAUGUCGAGCUCAACUUUAGAAUGAAACUGCUAACGGCUCAUCAUAACUGAUGUAAUUUUUUUAGAAUUGUUCGGAUGGAUUACUGCGGUAAUUCUGGAGCUAAUACAUGCGACAAAACUUUUGUUUUGCUCUACAAAUUCGCUGAAUCGGAAUAACGCAGCUUAUUCCAAGAAGUGACUACCCUGUUAAACUGAAGACUUCGGUCCUAUUAAUCAUUUCAAAAAUUGGAAUAAUGGUUGAGAGGGGCAAUUCGGGGCAUUCGUAUCCUUGCGCUAGUGAUGAAAUUCGUGAACAUAAACUAUGCCAUCUAGCAAUUCGAUGGGGUACUAAUACCAGGGCGUUGUCAAGCAGUUUCCAAGACACAAAGGCCUUUCGGUUUUUGUGAUAGUAUGAUUGCAAAGCUGAAACUUAGGGAAAUUGAAGGAAUGGUAAUACCAGGAGUGGAGUCUGCAGCUACUCAUCACGGAUAAACUCAUCUGGCCCACACUCAGAAAGGAUUGACAGAUUAAAGUUGCGCACCUAAACCAGCAUUCAGACAAUAAAAUUGGGCAACUCAACAGACUUCACGUUUUAAUACUAUGUAGCAAUUCUUGCUACUUCCCAUCCAUUCACCAAUAAUAAACCACCCCUCAAUAUAAUGAUAAUGAUGAUCCUACAUAUCAUACACAAACAUUCAUAACAUUGUGAUAGGAUGAAGGUAAAAAAAGGCUUUAGCCCUUCAUCUCUCAAUUUA
rnacentral:ncRNA from 1 species